rnacentral:rRNA from 1 species
CAGUAGCCGCGGGAAUACGUAGGGUGCAAGCGUUAAUCGGAAUUACUGGGCGUAAAGCGUGCGCAGGCGGUUGUGUAAGACAGGUGUGAAAUCCCCGGGCUUAACCUGGGAAUUGCAUUUGUGACUGCACGACUAGAGUGUGUCAGAGGGGGGUGGAAUUCCACGUGUAGCAGUGAAAUGCGUAGAUAUGUGGAGGAACACCAAUGGCGAAGGCAGCCCCCUGGGAUAACACUGACGCUCAUGCACGAAAGCGUGGGGAGCAAACAGGAUUAGAUACCCCUGUAGUCCCUGUCUCUUAUAU